AUUGAACGCUGGCGGCGUGCUUAACACAUGCAAGUCGAUCGGUAACAGGUGUAGCAAUACAUGCUGACGAGAGGCGGACGGGUGAGGAAUAUUUGGGAAUCUGCCCAUCAGCGGGGGACAACCCGGGGAAACCCGGGCUAAUACCGCAUACGCUCUACGGAGGAAAGCCGGGGACCGCAAGGCCUGGCACUGAUGGAUGAGCCCAAAUCGGAUUAGCUAGUUGGCGGGGUAACGGCCCACCAAGGCGACGAUCCGUAGCUGGUCUGAGAGGACGAUCAGCCACACCGGAACUGAGACACGGUCCGGACUCCUACGGGAGGCAGCAGUGGGGAAUAUUGGACAAUGGGGGAAACCCUGAUCCAGCGACGCCGCGUGGGUGAAGAAGGCCUGCGGGUUGUAAAGCCCUUUCGGUAGGGACGAAAGCUCUUGCUCUAACAAGGCAGGAGGUUGACUUAACCUACAUAAGAAGCACCGGCUAACUCUGUGCCAGCAGCCGCGGUAAAAC
rnacentral:rRNA from 1 species